CCUACGGGGGGCAGCAGUGAGGAAUAUUGGUCAAUGGACGAGAGUCUGAACCAGCCAAGUAGCGUGAAGGAUGACUGCCCUAUGGGUUGUAAACUUCUUUUAUAUGGGAAUAAAAUGUUCCACGUGUGGGAUUUUGUAUGUACCAUAUGAAUAAGGAUCGGCUAACUCCGUGCCAGCAGCCGCGGUAAUACGGAGGAUCCGAGCGUUAUCCGGAUUUAUUGGGUUUAAAGGGAGCGUAGGUGGAUUGUCAAGUCAGUUGUGAAAGUUUGCGGCUCAACCGUAAAAUUGCAGUUGAAACUGGCAGUCUUGAGUACAGUAGAGGUGGGCGGAAGUCGUGGUGUAGCGGUGAAAUGCUUAGAUAUCACGAAGAACUCCGAUUGCGAAGGCAGCUCACUGGACUGCAACUGACACUGAGGCUCGAAAGUGUGGGGAUCAAACAGGAUUAGAUACCCUUGUAGUC
rnacentral:rRNA from 1 species